ensembl:snoRNA small nucleolar RNA, H/ACA box 79B
UGAUGACCGUUCCUCCUCCUGCUUAGAGCCCUAGCAAGUAGGAUUUUAGGUCAUCACAGAGCAAACAUGGACUACUUCACUCGGAGUUGAGGCAGUGGUGCUGCCAGUGUCUAUUCCGAAAUUUGCGGGUCCAGACAUUU